GCCACUGCAGUCACCAAACUGGUGCUUUCUGCCCUUCUUGCCUUUCCACUGCAGAGCAACAGGGAGUGGGGCCGUGCCUCUGAGUGCCAUCCUGCUCUAGUGUGGAUCACAGUCUCUCUGAAGGACAUUUCCUGCUGUGCUGAAUCUCAGCUGUUGCCCUGGACAGUGGGACUUGUCCUGUGGCCUUCUGGCCAGCAGUCAUCCAAAUUGAUUCCUGCUGGCCUGUUGCUGCUCUCCCUGUUUCUUUACAGUGGAACAUGGUGACCCAGAUGGAGGACUGAAUCCCUGUCUGUAUCCCUUGUAAAUCGGUUCUUUCCCUUUCCUCACAGUCAAUGACUCUUGGCUGACAGGGACAAGCUGUAGUCUCUGACUGCUUUGUUCUCUUUGACUUGAGGUGCAAGUGUCGACAUCUCACCUGGCAGCCUGCAAAGACUUCCAGCAAACAAUGGGCAAUGAAGGGCCCCAAGGUUGGUGUGAGGCACAAGAACUGUCCCCACCAGAAAUGCGACAGGUUCAGCACACCAUGGCCUCUGGUGUUAAACCUGCUGCUGCAGCAGCAUUACCUGGGGGAAUCUAUUCUGUCAAACCUGGGAACUCAAGCUGGGGCUGUUUGUUCAUCACCAGUUCUGACAGCGGCAUGGCUGCUCCAAAACCGGAGACUGAGAAGGGGUACCUGGAGAUUGUGGGGAGAAUGGUGACCAUGGAAAAUCCCGCAAUGAAAUACAUGGAACAGGAACACAUUAGCAGCGGGUCUUUUGGAGAUGUGGUUAGAACACUCAACAAUGCCACAGGAGGAGAGGCAGAAGUCAACAGCCCUGUGUUUUUAUGUCUGUAAUUUCAUUGUUUUUAUGAAAACAUGCAUUCCCAUCUCCAUAUUUUUGUGUUUCUAAUUAUUCAUAUACCAAAGUACUUCUUUUUUAACUCUUAAUUUAUUGCAGUUGGUAAUUUUUAUGUAGUGUAUUUUAAAAUAUCACAAAACAACACCCUUUGGGUAAUAUUCUGCAUUCUUAAAAAAAAACCCCACAAGCCAUUUUAGCUUCUGUCUCUCAAAGGUUAUUUCAUACCUGUCUGUUUUAAAUCAGGCCUACAAGUCAUUAAUAGGAUUGAGACAGGUUCAGGAAAUGCACACCAGUAAUUCCUCUUUUUUUUUUUUUCUCCCCUCUCAUCAGCUCAACAUUUAGCUGCAAACUUAAGAUGAGCAAAAUAAAAACCAUGUCAUGGGCCUUUGGGAGUACCCUUGCUGAUCUUUCUGCUUUUUCUGUUGAGCAAGGCUCUGAUCCAGGCAAAGAGAUUGCACUUAGUGACACAGAACCAUUUGGCUGGAAUUCUGCUGAUUUCUAGUAACAGCUGGAGGCCUGGAUCUCCACAGGAUGCUUUGGCUGUCCCAGGCUCUGUUGGCUUUUGGCUGCCCCAGGCUCUGUUGGCUUUUGGCUGCAAAUACCAUUUUCCUUGCUUUCUUAUCCAGAAGUACCAUGGCAAGAACCACCAGUGGGCCAUAUUCCAAAGGCAGUUUGAUCUGGAGUUUGUGAAGGAAGGAGACCUUUAUCCAAUUCCAAACCACAUUAAAAAAAUCAUAAACGAGAAAUUCCCAUCCUUAACAAACAACUGACAAUUCAGAAGUGGAUACAGAGCUUAUUUACAGAAUGAAAAGUAAGGGAAUUUUCCAAUGGAGUUGUGGUUUCUGGAGUUUUUAUUCUGACUCCCACUCACAGCUAGCACUGGAGAAACUCAUGUCCCUGGAAGUGUCAGUGUCUUCUGCCUGCCAUGAAUUGUUUGCCUGCAACCAUCAGAGGCAUCAGGCUGGAAACAGUGUCGGCUGAUGUUAGCAACAGGAGCUGCCCCAAGGAGAAAAAAAAAUGAAUGAACUUGUACCUCCCAAACCCAUCUCCCCACAGGCUCCAGCAGGAUUCCUUUGGUUCUCAGAAAUACACCGAAAUAGGGCUGAGAAGACCAUCUGAAUCUAUGUGUUCAUGCCCAAGACCUCGCUGAUGCUGUUUGGGUUUUGUAAUUUUUCUUUU